GCCGAGGCUAGAGUCACGCCGUGGCCUCGCUGGUUGCCUCGAUGUGCUAAAGUCCUCGCAGAGGAAUCACUGAUCUUUAUUCACUGGUUGUGUCUCUGUGACUCUACCGGUCACCGGCUCAGUGACAACA
rnacentral:snoRNA from 1 species